rnacentral:rRNA from 1 species
UGAUCCUGGCUCAGGACGAACGCUGGCGGCGUGCUUAACACAUGCAAGUCGAGCGAUGAAGCACCUUCGGGUGUGAAUUAGCGGCGAACGGGUGAGGAACACGUGAGAAAUCUGCCUUCAACUCUGGGAUAACUCCGUGAAAACGGGGCUAAUACCGGAUAUGAGAUCUACAGGCAUCUGUGGAUCUGGAAAGUUUUUCGGUUGAAGAUGAUCUCGCGGCCUAUCAGCUUGUUGGUGAGGUAAUGGCUCACCAAGGCGACGACGGGUAGCCGGCCUGAGAGGGCGACCGGCCACACUGGGACUGAGACACGGCCCAGACUCCUACGGGAGGCAGCAGUGGGGAAUAUUGGGCAAUGGAGGAAACUCUGACCCAGCGACGCCGCGUGCGGGAUGAAGGCCUUCGGGUUGUAAACCGCUUUCAGCAGGGAAGAAGCGAAAGUGACGGUACCUGCAGAAGAAGCACCGGCUAACUAUGUGCCAGCAGCCGCGGUAAUACAUAGGGUGCAAGCGUUGUCCGGAAUUAUUGGGCGUAAAGAGCUCGUAGGUGGUUCGUCACGUCGGAUGUGAAACUCUGGGGCUUAACCCCAGACCUGCAUUCGAUACGGGCGAGCUUGAGUAUGGUAGGGGAGUCUGGAAUUCCUGGUGUAGCGGUGGAAUGCGCAGAUAUCAGGAGGAACACCAAUGGCGAAGGCAGGACUCUGGGCCAUUACUGACACUGAGGAGCGAAAGCGUGGGGAGCGAACAGGAUUAGAUACCCUGGUAGUCCACGCCGUAAACGGUGGGCACUAGUUGUGGGGACCUUCCACGGUCUCUGCGACGCAGCUAACGCAUUAAGUGCCCCACCUGGGGAGUAGGAUCGCAAGAUUAAA